rnacentral:lncRNA from 1 species
GUGUAAUUCAAUCCUUCAGUCAAAUAACAUCCCAGAUGAGCUGUGGGCAUGAAAAUAUGUCAAACCCAAUCACUUAUCAUUAUGUAUCUCGAUCUGAAGGUGAUGAUUCAAUUGAUAAUAUAUUAAUUUUUUUUUCUAAUUAUCAUCAUGCUUUGGCCAAAGAUUUCUGAAUCAAUGACCUAUGAGAUCACAUAGGAUGUUCACUCCCUUUAUUAGGAGUGACUGAUCUUUUAUUGAUCACUCACAAUCUCCAUGCACUCUUCACCAUAUCCAAAACACUCCAUACAAA